rnacentral:rRNA from 1 species
UACAGAGGGUGCGAGCGUUGUCCGGAAUCACUGGGCGUAAAGGGCGCGUAGGUGGCGGCAUAAGGCCGCGGUGAAAGUUCGGGGCUCAACCCUGAAUCGGCCGCGGCGACUGUGUCGCUUGGGCACCGUAGAGGCAGAUGGAAUUCCGGGUGUAGCGGUGGAAUGCGUAGAGAUCCGGAAGAACACCAGUGGCGAAGGCGGAUCUCUGGGCCGAUACUGACGCUGAGGAGCGAAAGCGUGGGGAGCGAACAGG